rnacentral:lncRNA from 1 species
AAUUUUUAUUUUUCUUAGCUGUUAUGUUAUUUUUUUAAGCUUGAAGAUGGCAAAUAGUUGUAUUGGCAAAACCAUUUGUGUUGUUAAACCUGUUUUGACACAACUGCUGUGUGUGUUGAAUUCUUUAUAAACUUGAGUAAACGUGUAGAAAACAGUAUAAUAGAAGCUGUUAUGGAUGCUUUCUAUAUAUCAAACCAUUGUUAAUAGACUGGAAUGUAUGAGAAUUGCAUUGACCACUCACAGAAGUUGUUGAUUACAUCAUUGUCAUAAAUACAAGUAGUCAUAAGUUAAGGACUACCUGUAUAUUUGCAGGCAUAAUGUUAAUUUACAUUGAACUAAAAAAUAAUGAAUAAAAGAAUAAGCUGUAUCAACCUGUUUAUAAGUAAAUUUAUUAUAUUUAUUUAGCUCCAUCAUUCAAAAAAAAUGCAAAUGGCUCUCAUUAUAUAAAACCAAGAAAAAACAGAUAUGGAUUUUAAUUAAAAUUAAAAGUUUUGGCAAUAGAGAACUGGAAUGAUUCGGCAUGCUUUUAAUUGUUCUAAAUUUAUUUAAAUGAAUAAAGUUUAUAGUUUGUGGAACAUUAUAAAAAAUAUCUGGAAGAAGAUGGCCAUGUAUAUAUAUUUAGCAAAAUGAAGCAGAUUAUGUUUGUCAAUUCAGUGAUUGAAUUCUGAUUUAUUCAAUAAGUUUGAGUGAUUCAAAGCAUCAGGUGGCACAAUCAAAACCAUUCGGCAGAAGAAAUGACUCAAAUAAUUUAAUUGCCUAAUGAUAUGCUGACUGUAUUUUAUCUAAAUAUGAUUGAAUUGCUGAUACAUGAAUGAUAUUUCACAUUUAACAUUAGAAACUAUUAUUACCAAAAACUGAGAACAAAGACUAGGUAUCAGUAAGAGAAGUUUGUGCAAAUUUUUAAUAAGGUAUUUAUAAAAAUAUAUUAUUACAGGUAGUCCUUGAUUUAUGAUUGUGUUUGGUUCAAACCUACCAUCGUAAGUUAGAAUGGCCUUAAUCAUAAAUGCCCAACAUUUAUGGAUUUUGCACUACUAAGGUUUACCAGACAUUAUAUAUGCAGUCUCUGACUGAUAUAAACAGAUGGUUCCAAAAACCCUAUGUAAAUCAAAUCAUAGAUAUGUCACAGCAUACCUUAUACAAUAGUAAUGUUACUAUACAAAGACAUAAUAAUAAAAAUAGUUUUAUUAGAGGACUAGCAAACUGUCUGGCAUUGCCCCAGGCAUAGUUUGAAAACAUAUAUAGUAUAUUAGAAAAAAUUUUAUUUUAACUAAUUAUAUGUUGAUUUCUUCUGCAAUUUGUCAUUUAAAUUAUUCUUUAACACAACCUUUAUAAUUUUCAAAAGAUUCGCUAACCUGAGUUGCUCUUUCUGCUCUUUGAUUUGGAAAAUAUUUACUUGGAAGAACAUUGAAAUUCAUAAUGCU